CCUACGGGAGGCAGCAGUGAGGAAUAUUGGUCAAUGGGCGCGAGCCUGAACCAGCCAAGUCGCGUGAGGGAAGACGGUCCUAUGGAUUGUAAACCUCUUUUGUCGGGGAGCAAAAGACGCCACGUGUGGCGUUCCGAGAGUACCCGACGAACAAGCAUCGGCUAACUCCGUGCCAGCAGCCGCGGUAAUACGGAGGAUGCGAGCGUUAUCCGGAUUUAUUGGGUUUAAAGGGUGCGCAGGCGGAAGAUCAAGUCAGCGGUAAAAUUGAGAGGCUCAACCUCUUCGAGCCGUUGAAACUGGUUGUCUUGAGUGAGCGAGAAGUAUGCGGAAUGCGUGGUGUAGCGGUGAAAUGCAUAGAUAUCACGCAGAACUCCGAUUGCGAAGGCAGCAUACCGGCGCUCAACUGACGCUCAUGCACGAAAGUGUGGGUAUCGAACAGGAUUAGAUACCCUUGUAGUC
rnacentral:rRNA from 1 species